rnacentral:misc_RNA from 1 species
UUUCCGUAGGUGAACCUGCGGAAGGAUCAUUACCAAAUUAAAUCCAAACCCUUAACCCAUGUGAACGAUGAAUGUUUGUCUCUGGGGUGAAUAGGCUUCUGUUUACCCCGAUAUUGUUAACAUCCUUUGUACUUUUUAUGGAAUCUUGUCUUUAUAUAUAAUAAUAAAUGACAACUUUUAACGGUGGAUCUCUUGGCUCGU